rnacentral:snRNA from 1 species
UGAACAGUGUUGACAAAA